rnacentral:rRNA from 1 species
UACGAAGGGGGCUAGCGUUGCUCGGAAUCACUGGGCUUAAAGGGCGCGUAGGCGGGCCAGCCAGUCUGUGGUGAAAGCCUCCAGCUUAACUGGAGAAGUGCCGUGGAUACUGCUGGCCUCGAGGAGGAUAGGGGCAUCUGGAACGGUCGGUGGAGCGGUGAAAUGCGUUGAUAUCGACCGGAACUCCGGUGGCGAAGGCGAGGUGCUGGGUCCUUUCUGACGCUGAUGCGCGAAAGCCAGGGGAGCAAACGGG